GAUGAACGCUGGCGGCGUGCCUAAUACAUGCAAGUCGAGCGAACGGACGAGAAGCUUGCUUCUCUGAUGUUAGCGGCGACGGGUGAGUAACACGUGGAUAACCUACCUAUAAGACUGGGAUAACUUCGGGAAACCGGAGCUAAUACCGGAUGAUAUUUUGAACCGCAUGGUUCAAAAGUGAAAGACGGUCUUGCUGUCACUUAUAGAUGGAUCCGCGCUGCAUUAGCUAGUUGGUAAGGUAACGGCUUACCAAGGCAACGAUGCAUAGCCGACCUGAGAGGGUGAUCGGCCACACUGGAACUGAGACACGGUCCAGACUCCUACGGGAGGCAGCAGUAGGGAAUCUUCCGCAAUGGGCGAAAGCCUGACGGAGCAACGCCGCGUGAGUGAUGAAGGUCUUCGGAUCGUAAAACUCUGUUAUUAGGGAAGAACAUAUGUGUAAGUAACUGUGCACAUCUUGACGGUACCUAAUCAGAAAGCCACGGCUAACUACGUG
rnacentral:rRNA from 1 species